GAUGAAGAACGUAGCGAAAUGCGAUAAGUAAUGUGAAUUGCAGAAUUCAGUGAAUCAUCGAGUCUUUGAACGCACAUUGCGCCCCCUGGCAUUCCGGGGGGCAUGCCUGUCCGAGCGUCAUUACAACCCUCAAGCUCAGCUUGGUGUUGGGCCCCGCCGCCCCGGCGGGCCCUAAAGUCAGUGGCGGUGCCGUCCGGCUCCGAGCGUAGUAAUUCUUCUCGCUCUGGAGGUCCGGUCGUGUGCUCGCCAGCAACCCCCAAUUUUUUUCAGGUUGACCUCGGAUCAGGUAGGGAUACCCGCUGAACUUAAGCAUAUCAAUAAGCGGAGGA
rnacentral:misc_RNA from 1 species